rnacentral:rRNA from 1 species
GAUGAACGCUAGCGGGAGGCUUAAUACAUGCAAGUCGAGCGGCAAGGUCUUCGGACCCUAGAGCGGCGCACGGGUGAGUAACGCGUACGCAAUCUGCCCUUCAGUGAGGAAUAGCCCUGGGAAACUGGGAUUAAUACCUCAUAAUAUUAGAGUAUCGCAUGGUACUUUAAUUAAAGUUCUGGCGCUGAAGGAUGAGCGUGCGUCUGAUUAGCUAGUUGGUAGGGUAACGGCCUACCAAGGCUACGAUCAGUAGGGGGCGUGAGAGCGUGACCCCCCCANACGGGUACUGAGACACGGACCCGACUCCUACGGGAGGCAGCAGUAAGGAAUAUUGGGCAAUGGACGAAAGUCUGACCCAGCCACGCCGCGUGAAGGAUGACUGCCCUAUGGGUUGUAAACUUCUUUUGUAUGGGAAGAAAAUUCCGAACGUGUUCGGAGCUGACGGUACCAUAAGAAUAAGCAUCGGCUAACUCCGUGCCAGCAGACGCGGUAAAGUAGUCGUGU